rnacentral:lncRNA from 1 species
CAGACACAAAAUUGUGCUGCAAAAAUCAGGAUUCUGGUGAGCAGACACUGAAUCAUCACAUAACAAGCCUGGACAAAUCACUUACAUCUUACGGACUGCAGGGUACUCAUCUAUAAAAUGAGGAGGUUGAAUCAACACGAGUGCCAGGUUCCUUCAGCUCGAUUAGACUUUGCUUCAUUUCUCACCAAAGAGGGAUUCCAGCCUCUCGUAUUUUUCCUAUCACACCAGAACGGUACUUUAUGAACUGACAUCGACGCCUCUAUCUCCUGACAUCUGAGAGGAUCUUAACUUG